rnacentral:misc_RNA from 1 species
GUUCGAUCCCGGCGCCGCUCACCAGCGGGGUCAUCUCUCACCGCCGCCGGAGCCCGCCGAAGCUAUCACUGCUGCCGGGCCGCGUCGGCGUAGGAAACAGCCCUAACUGCCUCCGCAGCGGUCCCGGGGGCCAUCGGACGCCAGUUCCGAGGCUCGUUUGCUAUGCGGACGGGACGGAGAAGGGGCCGGCCAGCAACUCGACGGCGACGGGGAUCCAGCUAUACUCUCAGAUCGAAAGACUAAUUACAGAAA